rnacentral:rRNA from 1 species
CAGUAGCCACGGUAAUACGAAGGGGGCUAGCGUUGCUCGGAAUUACUGGGCGUAAAGGGAGCGUAGGCGGGUCGUUAAGUUGGGGGUGAAAGCCCGGGGCUCAACCUCGGAAUUGCCUUCAAAACUGGCGACCUUGAGUAUGGGAGAGGUGAGUGGAACUCCGAGUGUUGAGGUGAAAUUCGUAGAUAUUCGGAAGAACACCAGUGGCGAAGGCGACUCACUGGCCCAUUACUGACGCUGAGGCUCGAAAGCGUGGGGAGCAAACAGGAUUAGAUACCCCUGUAGUCCCUGUCUCUUAUAC